rnacentral:misc_RNA from 1 species
UACGUAGGGGACUAGCGUUGUUCGGAAUUACUGGGCGUAAAGCGCGCGUAGGCGGACUAUUAAGUCAGGGGUGAAAUCCCGGGGCUCAACCCCGGAACUGCCCUUGAUACUGGUAGUCUGGAGUUCUGGAGAGGUGAGUGGAAUUCCGAGUGUAGAGGUGAAAUUCGUAGAUAUUCGGAGGAACACCAGUGGCGAAGGCGGCUUACUGGACCGGCAUAGACGCUGAGGUGCGAAAGUGUGGGGAGCAAACAGG